rnacentral:rRNA from 1 species
CUACGGGGCGCUCCAGUGGGGAAUAUUGGACAAUGGACCAAAAGUCUGAUCCAGCAAUUCUGUGUGCACGAUGACGGUCUUCGGAUUGUAAAGUGCUUUCAGUUGGGAAGAAAAAAAUGACGGUACCAACAGAAGAAGCGACGGCUAAAUACGUGCCAGCAGCCGCGGUAAUACGUAUGUCGCAAGCGUUAUCCGGAUUUAUUGGGCGUAAAGCGCGUCUAGGUGGUUUGAUAAGUCUGAUGUGAAAAUGCGGGGCUCAACUCCGUAUUGCGUUGGAAACUGUCAAACUAGAGUAUCGGAGAGGUGGGCGGAACUACAAGUGUAGAGGUGAAAUUCGUAGAUAUUUGUAGGAAUGCCGAUAGAGAAGUCAGCUCACUGGACGAAUACUGACACUGAAGCGCGAAAGCAUGGGGAGCAAACAGGAUUAGAUACCCCAGUAGUC